rnacentral:lncRNA from 1 species
CCCAACAUCGCCAUCUCUUACCUUCUUAAAUAUAACACAUAUACAUAAAAAGGAAAAACUUCAAAUAUCCCCAUUAUUAUUUCAUUCUUUCUCAUUUUAGACUUUAUUUGGGAUUGCGGAGAGAUUAUGUUACGUGCGGUAAAAAAUUACGUUAGAAAAAUAUCCUGUUUAUUUUCGUACGUAAUAUUGCAUUCCGCAUAUCGCGAUGAGUCGGUUACGAUAUAUUUUCUGCGGUCCCACCGGAGAACGCAGAAGCAUAUCCCUAUAUGUUUUUUUCUCAAUUCCAUUUUAUCUAACCUCAAUACCAAACUAAGCCUUAAUAGUCUAUGGUUUAAAAUAUAUCAAGUUAGUACCAUGUGGUUUCGCCCUUUCUCACUUUAGUAUUCUGUGGUUUAAAGUGUAUCAAGUUAGUACCCUGUGGUUUCACACUUUCUUAAUUUAGUACCAUGUCGUUUCGCACUUUCUUACUUUAGUAUCAUGUGGUUUAACGUUUCAUUAAGAGAAAAAUAAAACCAUAUGGUACUAACUUUUUACAAAAAUAAAACCACAUGGUACUAACUUGAUACAAAAAUAAAAUCACAUAAUAUUAACUUGAUACAAUUUAAACUAUAGGAUACUAAAAUGAGAAAGUAUGAAACGACAUGGUACUAACUUGAUACACUUUAAACCAUAUGGUACUAAAAUAAAAAGUGCGAAACUACAUAGGAGUUUUUUGAAGUUUUCCCUACAUAAUAUAAUCUAGAAUUAAACUUCUACGCUUUUAAAAUUACCAAAUUAUUGGCACUUAUAGAUUUUUGACCAUUGAAUUAAUAAAUAUGCGGUUAGAAUGAUAUGAACUUUCUAGAGUUGAGUGAGUAACUGUUGAAUAGUAUAAUUUAACGUAUAAAUUAAGGGCGUAGAUCUAUCGGUAAAAAAUUUACAAGUAUCAAGUGCUUGGUGCUUUUAUCAUGACUAUAGCCAGACUCAUAUAAUCUAUUUAAAUUGUUGAGAUAAAAAUAAUAAUAAU